AUCGAACGCUGGCGGAAUGCUUUACACAUGCAAGUCGAGCGGCAGCGCGGGGGCAACCCUGGCGGCGAGCGGCGAACGGGUGAGUAACAUAUCGGAACGUACCCAGUCGUGGGGGAUAACUAUCCGAAAGGAUAGCUAAUACCGCAUACGUCCUGAGGGAGAAAGCGGGGGAUCGCAAGACCUCGCGCGAUUGGAGCGGCCGAUAUCGGAUUAGCUAGUUGGUGGGGUAAAGGCUCACCAAGGCGACGAUCCGUAGCGGGUCUGAGAGGACGACCCGCCACACUGGAACUGAGACACGGUCCAGACUCCUACGGGAGGCAGCAGUGGGGAAUUUUGGACAAUGGGGGCAACCCUGAUCCAGCCAUUCCGCGUGAGUGAAGAAGGCCUCGGUUGUAAG
rnacentral:rRNA from 1 species